rnacentral:rRNA from 1 species
GCACAGAGGGAUAACACCGGGAAACUGGUGCUAAUACCACAUGAUAUCAUAACAAGGCAUCUUGAAAUGAUCAAAGGAGAAAUCCGGUGCAAGAUGGGCCUGCGUCCGAUUAGUUAGUUGGUGAGGUAACGGCUCACCAAGGCGACGAUCGGUAGCCGAACUGAGAGGUUGAUCGGCCACAUUGGGACUGAGACACGGCCCAGACUCCUACGGGAGGCAGCAGUGGGGAAUAUUGCGCAAUGGGGGGAACCCUGACGCAGCAACGCCGCGUGAAGGAAGAAGGCCUUCGGGUUGUAAACUUUUUUGAUUGGGGAAGAAAAAAAUGACGGUACCCAAGGAACAAGCCACGGCUAACUACGUGCCAGCAGCCGCGGUAAUACGUAGGUGGCGAGCGUUGUCCGGAAUCACUGGGUGUAAAGGGCGUGUAGGCGGGAUUGUAAGUCAGAUGUGAAAUUCCAGGGCUUAACUCUGGAGGUGCAUCUGAAACUAUAAUUCUUGAGUGCUGGAGAGGAAAGCGGAAUUCCUAGUGUAGCGGUGAAAUGCGUAGAUAUUAGGAAGAACACCAGUGGCGAAGGCGGCUUUCUGGACAGUAACUGACGCUGAGGCGCGAAAGCGUGGGGAGCAAACAGGAUUAGAUACCCUGGUAGUCCACGCUGUAAACGAUGGAUACUAGGUGUAGGAGGUAUCGACCCCUUCUGUGCCGGAGUUAACACAAUAAGUAUCCCACCUGGGGAGUACGGCCGCAAGGCUGGAAACUCAAGGAAUUGACGGGGGCCCGCACAAGCAGUGGAGUAUGUGGUCUAAUUCGAAGCAACGCGAAGAACCUUACCAGGGCUUGACAUCCCUCGGAUAACAUAGAGAUAUGUUAGUCCUUCGGGACGAGGAGACAGGUGGUGCAUGUUUGUCGUCAGCUCGUGUCGUGAGACGUUGGUUUAAGUCCCGCAACGAGCGCAACCCCUAUUGUUAGUAAACAUCAUUAAGUUGGGCACUCUAACGAGACUGCCGGUGACAAAUCGGACCCAGGUGGGGACGACGUCAAAUCAUCAUGCCCCUUAUGUCCUGGGCUACACAC